UACGUAGGGGGCAAGCGUUGUCCGGAAUCAUUGGGCGUAAAGCGCGCGUAGGCGGCCCGGUAAGUCCGCUGUGAAAGUCCAGGGCUCAACCCUGGAAUGCCGGUGGAAACUGUCAGGCUCGAGUCCGGAAGAGGCGAGUGGAAUUCCUGGUGUAGCGGUGAAAUGCGCAGAUAUCAGGAGGAACACCAAUGGCGAAGGCAGCUCGCUGGGACGGUACUGACGCUGAGACGCGAAAGCGUGGGGAGCGAACAGG
rnacentral:rRNA from 1 species